rnacentral:rRNA from 1 species
GACGUAGGGCGCGAGCGUUGUCCGGAUUUAUUGGGCGUAAAGAGCUCGUAGGCGGCUUGUCGCGUCGACUGUGAAAUCCCGCGGCUCAACCGCGGGUCUGCAGUCGAUACGGGCAGGCUAGAGUUCGGUAGGGGAGACUGGAAUUCCUGGUGUAGCGGUGAAAUGCGCAGAUAUCAGGAGGAACACCAGUGGCGAAGGCGGCUCUCGUGGGCAGAUACUGACGCUGAGACGCGAAAGCGUGGGUAGCAAACAGG